rnacentral:rRNA from 1 species
UACGUAGGGGGCAAGCGUUGUCCGGAUUUAUUGGGCGUAAAGAGCGUGUAGGCGGCCCAGGUAGGUGGGUUGUGAAAACUGGAGGCUCAACCUUCAGACGUCGACCCAAACCCCCCUGGCUAGAGUCCGGAAGAGGAGAGUGGAAUUCCGGGUGUAGCGGUGGAAUGCGUAGAGAUCCGGAAGAACACCAGUGGCGAAGGCGGUCUGCUGGGCGGUGGGACCGAAAGGUCUCUUAAACCGACACUGAGGCGCGACAGCGUGGGGAGCAAACAGG